UACGUAGGGUGCGAGCGUUAAUCGGAAUUACUGGGCGUAAAGCGUGCGCAGGCGGUUUUGUAAGCCAGAUGUGAAAUCCCCGGGCUUAACCUGGGAAUGGCCGUGGAAACUGGCGGGCUUGAGUGUGGCAGAGGGGGGUGGAAUUCCGCGUGUAGCAGUGAAAUGCGUAGAGAUGCGGAGGAACACCGAUGGCGAAGGCAACCCCCUGGGCUGACACUGACGCUCAGGCACGAAAGCGUGGGGAGCAAACAGG
rnacentral:rRNA from 1 species